rnacentral:rRNA from 1 species
UACGGAGGGGGCUAGCGUUGUUCGGAAUUACUGGGCGUAAAGCGCACGUAGGCGGCUUGGUAAGUUAGAGGUGAAAGCCUGGAGCUCAACUCCAGAAUUGCCUUUAAGACUGCCGAGCUAGCAGGUGAGAGAGGUGAGUGGAAUUCCGAGUGUAGAGGUGAAAUUCGUAGAUAUUCGGAAGAACACCAGUGGCGAAGGCGGCUCGCUGGCUCAUACUGGACGCUGAGGUGCGAAAGCGUGGGGAGCAAACAGG